CGACCUGAGCUCAGGCAAGAUUACCCGCUGAACUUAAGCAUAUCAAAG
rnacentral:rRNA from 1 species